rnacentral:lncRNA from 1 species
UUCCCAAUGAACCAGUCGCAAGUGAAAGCCCUUGCCUGAGUGCCUCCAUUAGCCAGGUGUCAGAGCUCUGUUUUCAUUCCAGGCUUUUCUCUGGGAAGGGGUGUGUGCGCACCAAAAAGCACCACGGAGGAACUGGAGCCUUGGCAGGAGCAGGAGGGUGCCCAGAGGAGCUCUGCAAGGAAAGUGAGUGCUUUCACUCCUCUGUCAUCACCAGUCCCUGAGAGCCAUCACCACCCACCAACAGUUCCUUGAGAUAAGGCUGAGCCAGCUGGGAGAAGAAAGCCUUUGAUAUUCCCUGCCUUGCUGAGUCAGAUGAGUGACACCUGGCAGCUUGUGCACACUGCCACUGUGUUAACCUGUGUGCCUCUCCUUCCCUCCCUGCUCCAUGGGCACAACAUGGGAGCAGCAGGGACAGGUCCUGGGGAGAAAGAGGUGGAGCUCAGCUGUGGAGUUCCCUGAUCUUUCCAUGGAUAUUGGCGACUGCAGCACCUGGGAUCCACGGCACAACUCCUUCCUCCAGAGGUCAAAGCUGAGCCUACAAUUUCAAGCAGGAUAAUCACCUUUCCAAGGCAAUAACAUGCACUUCCCAAAAGCAGGUGGUUAAGAUGGCUCAGAAGCAAUUACAAGAAUGUGAUGAAAAAUUUGGUCCAUCAAUCCAGCUUCUGGACAUGGUAGGGAAGAGAUACCUUUCAAUAAAACAUCAAACACUGCCUGUUUUAUUUUGUGU